AUGCAGGAUUAUCGACAACUCGUCGCCCGAGUUUACUCCUCUGAGACUGACACAUGGGGCAAUUCCAUCUCGACAGAGGCUUCAGAUGAUACUCUAUUUGGUCACAGAACUAGCACCCUUAUAGGUAAUGCCCUGUACUGGUCGGCUAAGCAUAAGGGAAAUGACAUACUUGAGUUUGAUUUGCGCAAGCAGAGCCUUACCGUGAUCAAGGGGCCUCGUGGUAUGAAUAUGAAUGAUUUCGACAACUUUCAUAUCAUUGAGGAACAAGAUGGUGCUGUUGGUCUUGUCGCCUUGUCUUGCCUUAAGCUUCAAAUGUGGCAGAGGAAGGUUGAUUGUCAGGGUGUUGCCAAAUGGUUGUUGCGGAAAACCGUUUCAGUGCGUGAACUUCUGAAGAUCCCUCCUCAUACUGCAGCAAGGAAUGAAUGGCUCAAAGUGGUGGGGUAUGAUGAGGAUACCGAUGUAAUCUUUUUAGCUAGGCACGACGGUAUAUAUAUGGUUCAGCCCAAGUCAAUGCAAGCCAGGAAACUAAAUGGAACCGGAUCUACAUAUUACUGCUACACUUUCAUGAGUUCAUAUCCACUAGGUAAUUGCUCAUCCUUGGUCUUUAUAUCUUAG
rnacentral:rRNA from 1 species